rnacentral:rRNA from 1 species
CAGUCAUGCCGGUGAGAAUCAACUUUGGGGAAGGGGGAUUUUUUUGAACCUAACCUUGAAGUGCACUUCUUCGCUUGGCAGGUUAGCGUCGAUUUUGAACGUCAUAAAAUGAUUGGGGGAAGGUAGCUCUUUCGGGAGUGUUAUAGCCCUUAAUUAAUGUGAUAUUUGGGAUCGAGGAUUGCAACGGAUACCUUUUUUUAGGCUAGCCGCCUGGCCUCUGAUUCGAUGUUGGGUUAUAGACAGCACGCUGACUAUGAUCUGAUUAUUGGUCAAAAGGUUAGAGCGAGCAUAAA